rnacentral:rRNA from 1 species
UACGAAGGGGGCUAGUGUUGCUCGGAAUCACUGGGCGUAAAGCGCACGUAGGCGGCUUCUUAAGUCAGGGGUGAAAUCCUGGAGCUCAACUCCAGAACUGCCUUUGAUACUGAGGAGCUUGAGUCCGGGAGAGGUGAGUGGAACUCCGAGUGUAGAGGUGAAAUUCGUAGAUAUUCGGAAGAACACCAGUGGCGAAGGCGGCUCACUGGCCCGGUACUGACGCUGAGGUGCGAAAGCGUGGGGAGCAAACAGG